UACAGAGGGUGCAAGCGUUGUUCGGAAUUAUUGGGCGUAAAGCGCGUGUAGGCGGCUUUGCAAGUCGGGUGUGAAAGCCCUCAGCUCAACUGAGGAAGUGCGCCCGAAACUGCAGAGCUUGAGUGCCGGAGAGGGUGGCGGAAUUCCCCAAGUAGAGGUGAAAUUCGUAGAUAUGGGGAGGAACACCGGUGGCGAAGGCGGCCACCUGGACGGUAACUGACGCUGAGACGCGAAAGCGUGGGAGCAAACAGGAUAGAUA
rnacentral:rRNA from 1 species